rnacentral:siRNA from 1 species
AUCGUCUUGCGGACGGAUUGGCG